UCUUCCCUCUGCUCCCACCCACCACCGAACGUCGUACCCCGCCCGUGCGUCCCCGUGCAGGUUGCUCCCACCACAAGACACCUAGACCACGGGGGAGAGGAAACCGUUGGAGGAGGAGGAGUAGACGACGGCUACCGACACUCAAGUGCCGACGAGGCCUCGAGGUUGCUCGGUUCCAGUAGAGACUUGGCGUAAACAAAUUCCCUUUCUAUCUAUAUUCUUCUUUAAUCAGAUAUGCACGGGAAUAAAUAAAACUAAAAAUGGUGAGGAACUGGUUGAGUACGAGUGUAUAGUUGAUAAGGGGCCUGAGGGACAAAGAUCUAACGAUCUGUACAAUCAACCAAAAGAAGAAAGAAUAGGAUCCUACCGUAAAAACAAAUUCCCCUUAAUUAAGAAAAAAAUUAUCAUGUAGAAGGGGAAAAUGGUUAUUAGACUAAAAAUAUAUAGUUAAAUACCCAAAGAGGGUCAACACACGUUUAGGCUGUUUCUUCUCUUUUCCUUCUUAUAACUCCUUCUCAAAACCACUUCUUCUUGUUCUCAUCGUUACCUAACAUGUCUUUUAUCGUAUGAUUUACAAGAACUACUCGACUAGUACCUGGAGCCGUUUUAACUGUUACGAUAGCUGUGAGAAACGCUACGACCUUAUCUUUACUUCUUAAUAUUAAAUUAAUGAGAUCACCUUCCUAGUCAAAAAUACCGUACCUGAUGUUUCCUCUCUUCACCUGGUACACUUGCAUCAUGUUGUAACAACAAUCAAGCGCGUCAGCUCCAGACGAGUCCUUCUGUGUCAAGCUGGCUUGUCAACAACACAAAAGGGUCAACAAACGUUUAGGCUGCUUUUCCUCGUUUCUUUCUUAUAACUCCUUAUAAAUCCAUUUCUUCUUGUUCCACUUGGGAUACAUAGAGAAGGGGGAGAGAGAGAACUUGUGGGUAGCAAUAAACGUCACGAACAAACCUUAAGAAUACCACGUAGAUACUAGAAGGAUCGAACAAAAGAAAAAGCCCAAUUUGAGGUUAGUUCGUAACACUGCAUAAUCAGUAUUAAAAUAAUAAAAAGGGAGCUGAUGAAAGAAAACGGUUCUACUUAAUUACACAUCCAAAAGGUGGUGUUCAAGCAACGUUACGGAAUAAAACAUAAAUCAAGUCAAGUUGAGAUCUCUUAUCGUCAAACACAUACUAGAAUCAAGGAUGUUUGACCUUCCGCUUCUAUCUAAUCAAAUGGAAAAAAUGGUAGAAGUCAGUGUUGGUAUAAAAGGCAGUACUUUUGUGAGAAUUGAGAUUUAAACGUUGACAAGUCACGUAAAUACAACGAAGGACGUUCCAGUUACUAUACCUCUGUCAACCUUAAGUAUAAGUUCGAUUAUGUCACUGAUUUAAACCGCUCGUCGCUCACGGACUAGUACUAGACGCCCUCCCAUUGCCAAUAAUAUUAUUAACUCACAUGGGUUACCUCUGACGUAAUGUAUUAAUUAGCCUCCCAUUCCCGCAGGUAUCAAAAGUAACUUGAUGACGUCAAAGGUUGACUUAAAAGUAAACGUCUAAGGCUUCUUGCCUCAAGAUCCAAGAUUGGUACAGCGAAGGUAAACAACAUAAGACUCCUAUUUAGAACAAGAUAUAGGGACGUAACAAUAGGUGACCUGAGAUUUUGUUUUUAGUUACAAACGUGUAGGUCUGUUCCAUUUGAAUACUACUCACCUUAGGUGUUAUAUUUAACUGUAAGAUACAGUCACCUUCACUCAGAUAUGAGUGGCUCCUUGUUAAACUAGACUAUUGAUACUUUACAAGAAACAACCAAAACCAAGAUAUUAUAGUUCUAGAUAUUAAUAUAAGUGAAAUGUACAAUUGUACAACAUUUAUUUAACAAUAGAUUAUCAGUCGUUAGACACCCUUGAAAAGGAGUGUCAUCCCACACAACAACUACAAAAGAACUAGAUGGUCACUUGAACAUAGUACACCG
rnacentral:rRNA from 1 species